GCCCGCACAAGCGGCGGAGCAUGCGGAUUAAUUCGAUGCAACGCGAAGAACCUUACCAAGGCUUGACAUAUGCGAGAACGCGGCAGAGAUGUCGUUCUCUUUGGACACUCGCAUACAGGUGGUGCAUGGUUGUCGUCAGCUCGUGUCGUGAGAUGUUGGGUUAAGUCCCGCAACGAGCGCAACCCUCGUUCUAUGUUGCCAGCACGUGAUGGUGGGGACUCAUAGGAGACUGCCGGGGUCAACUCGGAGGAAGGUGGGGAUGACGUCAAAUCAUCAUGCCCCUUAUGUCUUGGGCUUCACGCAUGCUACAAUGGCCGGUACAAAGGGCUGCGAUACCGCGAGGUGGAGCGAAUCCCAAAAAACCGGUCUCAGUUCGGAUUGGGGUCUGCAACUCGACCCCAUGAAGUCGGAGUCGCUAGUAAUCGCAGAUCAGCAACGCUGCGGUGAAUACGUUCCCGGGCCUUGUACACACCGCCCGUCAAGUCACGAAAGUCGGUAACACCCGAAGCCGGUGGCCCAACUCUUUGAGAGGGAGCCGUCGAAGGUGGGACUGGCGAUUGGGACUAAGUCGUAACAAGGUAGCCGUACCGGAAGGUGCGGCUGGAUCACCUCCUUUCUA
rnacentral:rRNA from 1 species